GGGGAUUUAGCUCAGUGGCAUAAGCACCUGCCUUGCAAGCAGGAGUGGAGAGUUCAAUCUCCG
rnacentral:tRNA from 1 species